UACGUAGGUGACAAGCGUUGUCCGGAUUUACUGGGCGUAAAGAGCGCGCAGGCGGUCGUUCAAGUCGAGUGUGAAAGCCCCCGGCUCAACUGGGGAGGGUCAUUCGAUACUGAUCGACUCGAAGGCAGGAGAGGGUAGUGGAAUUCCCAGUGUAGUGGUGAAAUACGUAGAGAUUGGGAAGAACACCAGUGGCGAAGGCGGCUAUCUGGACGGUUUCUGACGCUAAGACGCGAAAGCGUGGGGAGCAAACAGG
rnacentral:rRNA from 1 species